rnacentral:rRNA from 1 species
GACGAACGCUGGCGGCGUGCUUAACACAUGCAAGUCGAACGGAAAGGCCCUGCUUUUGUGGGGUGCUCGAGUGGCGAACGGGUGAGUAACACGUGAGUAACCUGCACUUGACUUUGGGAUAACUUCAUGAAACUGGGGCUAAUACCGCAUAGGAGCUCCUGCUGCAUGGUGGGGGUUGGAAAGUUUCGGCGGUUGGGGAUGGACUCGCGGCGUAUCAGCUUGUUGGUGGGGUAGUGGCUUACCAAGGCUUUGACGGGUAGCCGGCCUGAGAGGGUGACCGGCCACAUUGGGACUGAGAUACGGCCCAGACUCCUACGGGAGGCAGCAGUGGGGAAUAUUGCACAAUGGGCGGAAGCCUGAUGCAGCAACGCCGCGUGCGGGAUGACGGCCUUCGGGUUGUAAACCGCUUUCGCCUGUGACGAAGCGUGAGUGACGGUAAUGGGUAAAGAAGCACCGGCUAACUACGUG